ensembl:snRNA U6 U6 spliceosomal RNA
GUGCUUGCUUUUGCAGCACUUAUACUAAAGCUGGAAUGAUACAGAGAAGAUAAGCAUGGCCCCUGCACAAAGACGACACACAAAUUUGUGAAGCGUUCCUUUUUUUU